rnacentral:rRNA from 1 species
CAGUCGACGCGUCUUGGUUAUUGAUGUUAAGUGCUUGCAUUUAAUUGAUUUACAUUGAGACGAGUGGCGAACUGGUGAGUAACACGUGGGUAACCUGCCCUUGAAGUAGGGGAUAACACUUGGAAACAGGUGCUAAUACCGUAUAACAACCAAAACCACCUGGUUUUGGUUUAAAAGAUGGCUUCGGCUAUCACUUUAGGAUGGACCCGCGGCGUAUUAGCUUGUUGGUAAGGUAACGGCCUACCAAGGCAAUGAUACGUAGCCGACCUGAGAGGGUAAUCGGCCACAUUGGGACUGAGACACGGCCCAAACUCCUACGGGAGGCAGCAGUAGGGAAUCUUCCACAAUGGACGAAAGUCUGAUGGAGCAACGCCGCGUGAGUGAUGAAGGGUUUCGGCUCGUAAAACUCUGUUGUUGGAGAAGAACAGGUGUGAGAGUAACUGUUCACAUCUUGACGGUAUCCAACCAGAAAGCCACGGCUAACUACGUGCCAGCAGCCGCGGUAAUACGUAGGUGGCAAGCGUUGUCCGGAUUUAUUGGGCGUAAAGCGAGCGCAGGCGGUUUCUUAGGUCUGAUGUGAAAGCCUUCGGCUUAACCGGAGAAGUGCAUCGGAAACCAGGAGACUUGAGUGCAGAAGAGGACAGUGGAACUCCAUGUGUAGCGGUGAAAUGCGUAGAUAUAUGGAAGAACACCAGUGGCGAAGGCGGCUGUCUGGUCUGUAACUGACGCUGAGGCUCGAAAGCAUGGGUAGCGAACAGGAUUAGAUACCCUGGUAGUCCAUGCCGUAA